AACGAACGCUGGCGGCAGGCUUAACACAUGCAAGUCGAGCGCCCCGCAAGGGGAGCGGCAGACGGGUGAGUAACGCGUGGGAAUCUACCCAUCCCUACGGAAUAACGCAUGGAAACGUGUGCUAAUACCGUAUACGUCCUUCGGGAGAAAGAUUUAUCGGAGAUGGAUGAGCCCGCGUUGGAUUAGCUAGUUGGUGGGGUAAAGGCCAACCAAGGCGACGAUCCAUAGCUGGUCUGAGAGGAUGAUCAGCCACACUGGGACUGAGACACGGCCCAGACUCCUACGGGAGGCAGCAGUGGGGAAUAUUGGACAAUGGGCGCAAGCCUGAUCCAGCCAUGCCGCGUGAGUGAUGAAGGCCCUAGGGUUGUAAAGCUCUUUCACCGGUGAAGAUAAUGACGGUAACCGGAGAAGAAGUCCCGGCUAACUUCGUGCCAGCCGCCGCGGUAAAAC
rnacentral:rRNA from 1 species